CCCAGCCAUUUCCUCUGCCUCUUGCCCGACCAACUCAGCCAGCCUGGACGUGCCCUCCUCUCAAACUCUCUCUAACUACCUGGAAACCAACUUCAUCAGAACCUCCCGAAUCCCAUUCAACAUCUGCAUCACUCAUCCACCUUAAAUAAAUAAUUUUACUCACCUUC